rnacentral:rRNA from 1 species
UAAUACGUAGGGGGCGAGCGUUGUCCGGAUUUAUUGGGCGUAAAGAGCUCGUAGGCGGCUCAGCAAGUCGGCCGUGAAAGCCUGAGGCUCAACCUCAGGAUGCCGGUCGAAACUGCUGUGGCUAGGGUUCGGUAGAGGAGAGUGGAAUUCCCGGUGUAGCGGUGAAAUGCGCAGAUAUCGGGAGGAACACCAGUAGCGAAGGCGGCUCUCUGGGCCGACACCGACGCUGAGGAGCGAAAGCUAGGGGAGCGAACAGGAUUAGAUACCCUGGUAGUCCUAGCCGUAAACGUUGGGAACUAGGUGUGGCGGAUUCAUUGACAUCUGCCGUGCCGAAGCUAACGCAUUAAGUUCCCCGCCUGGGGAGUACGGUCGCAAGGCUA